rnacentral:rRNA from 1 species
AUGUGAUCGUCUCUCGCAUAUCAAUAAGCGGAGGAAAAGAAACUAACAAGGAUUCCCCUAGUAACGGCGAGUGAAGCGGGAAGAGCUCAAAUUUGAAAUCUUAAAGGGUUUCCCUUUACGAAUUGUAGUUUAAAGAAGUGUUUUCUGUUGAGGUUUUGGUAAAAGUUCUUUGGAAUAGGACAUCAUAGAGGGUGAGAAUCCCGUAUUUGACCUUUACUUUCAACUUUGUGAUACACUUUCAAAGAGUCGGAUUGUUUGGGAAUGCAGUCCAAAAUGGGUGGUAAAUUUCAUCUAAAGCUAAAUAUUGGCGAGAGACCGAUAGCGAACAAGUACCGUGAGGGAAAGAUGAAAAGAACUUCGAAAAGAGAGUUAAACAGUACGUGAAAUUGUCAAAAGGGAAGCGUUUGACACCAGUGUUGUUUUUCUGAAAAUCAAUUAAAGAACUGUUUAUGCUAAGCUGUUUAGACUUUAUCAGCUAUCUGUUUAGUUUUGAGCUUUUCUUUAAUGCACUUUUCAGUCAACAAGUCAACAUCAAUUUCUUUUGCUGUAAAAAAGCUUGAGGAAGGUGGCUUGAGAUUCGUCUUAAGUGUUUAUAGCCUCUUGCCUAUGCAGUCGGAGAGAUUGAGGUCUGCAGCGUAGAUCCUUCGGGGCUAAAUGCAUUUGUGCUAAGUUAUAGCAUUUUAUAGACAACUUGUUGACUAUGAUUUGUCUUGUAGCUUACUCGCUUAUGUUAUUUUACCUACGCUUAGGAUGUUGAACGCGCACAGAGUCUC